AUUGAACGCUGGCGGCAUGCUUUACACAUGCAAGUCGAACGGUAACAGGUUAAGCUGACGAGUGGCGAACGGGUGAGUAAUGCAUCGGAACGUGCCCGAUCGCGGGGGAUAACGCAGCGAAAGCUGCGCUAAUACCGCAUACGAUCUGAUGAUGAAAGCGGGGGACCGUAAGGCCUCGCGCGAUCGGAGCGGCCGAUGUCAGAUUAGGUAGUUGGUGGGGUAAAGGCCCACCAAGCCGACGAUCUGUAGCUGGUCUGAGAGGACGACCAGCCACACUGGGACUGAGACACGGCCCAGACUCCUACGGGAGGCAGCAGUGGGGAAUUUUGGACAAUGGGCGAAAGCCUGAUCCAGCAAUGCCGCGUGCAGGAAGAAGGCCUUCGGGUUGUAAACUGCUUUUGUACGGAGCGAAAAGGUCCUUUCUAAUACAAGGGGCUCAUGACGGUACCGUAAGAAUAAGCACCGGCUAACUACGUGCCAGCCGCCGCGGUAA
rnacentral:rRNA from 1 species